AUUUUCAACCUCUGCCUGACCAAGUCUGUAAUACCUACAUGUUUCAAGCAGACCACCAUAGUCCCUGUGCCCAAGGAAGCGUCGGUACCUACACACGUAGGUAGGCAUGAAGUGCUUUGAAAAUGCAGGGGACCAGUGGAUCACAGCUAUGGGACACAGCUUUUGCAGUACAGGCCUUUCUAGAGGCAGGGGAUCAGGACAGCCCCAGUUUAGAAGAGUGCCUUAAACACGCCCACCAGUUCCUAACCAUCACACAGCCAGGUCCUGGGGAGUGUGCUUCACCUGUGGGGUUUGGUUCGGCUUGGAGGCCUUGGCCUGCAUGGGUCAUAGCUACCACAAUGGAGGGCCUGUGACUUCCUGAUGGCCCUCCAGAUGAAGGACAGGGGGCUGGGGGUGAGGACUUUGAGUCCUGUGAGCAACGUCGCUGUGUCCAGAGCGGUAACUCCCAGAUCCUCAACACCUGCUUGGCCUCAUGGCUGCCAGACCAGAACGCUGUGGGGAGAAAUUCUAGAAGAGAGACAUACUGCAAUAAAUAACCAGAAGCUUUAUAGAUUACCCAAAAAUCUAUUUUGUCCUCAGGAGAGCAUCUCGAGGAUGUUCAAUAAGAACUGUGCCAUCAGCUACACCUCCUACAGGAACGUAUUCAGUGUGGACGCUGUGCCGCCUUCUCCAACCUUUACCUUUACCCCUCCAGCCCUCUGGCUGUGAAGGUCAAGCUGUGAGGUCAGGAGUCAGCAGAUGUGUGCUCAGUGUAAUUUCUGAAAUCUUUACAUAAAGGACAGUGGGAUGCUAAUGAAAGGUGCUGAAACAGGAGUCCUGAAAUGACCUCAACCCUGGGAUUACUUUACCAUGCAUGCUAUUUAACAUUCUUUUUGCCUUACGUUUUUGGUGGGACUGAACUCGUUGAAACAACCUUUUAGCUGAGAAAUAGUGUCAUUUUGGCUCCUGUAUUAUGACAUUAAAUCGAUACAUACAUAAAUCAUCAGUCUGUAAAUAGUGCUGAAAUAGAAAAAUGUCCAUGUUUCCUAUUAAUAUUAACCUUAGUUUCUGAAAAUAUAUUGAUCAGUGGCAGUCAGUGCCGUUUAAGAUGAGGGAGGACUGUUUUUUUUCAUGAGCAUGGCCGUGUUUCGAUUACAGUAUAUUGAAUGACUCAUUCAUAUUCCAGUCACCCAGUUCAAUGUGACAGCGAUAGGUUUAGGCUACGACAUGAAACUCAAAUGUUCCCUAUUGUAACGAAGUGCGGGAAACAAGUGAGUGGUUUAAUGAAAAAAAAACGCAACAUAAUCCAAAACAAACACGAACAACGCACAGACAUGAAACUGAAACAGAAACAAUGACGCCUGGGGAAGGAACCAAGGGGAGUGACAUAUAUAGGGCAGGUAAUCAAGGAGGUGAUGGAGUCCAGGUGAGUGUCAUAUUGAGCUAAUGCGCGUAGUAACGAUGGUGACAUGUGUGCGCCUUAACGAGCCGCCUGGUGACCUAGAGGCCGGAGAAGGAGCACACGUGACGGUGACCCCUCCCCGACGCGUGGCCCCAGCCGCAGGACGUCAAACAAGAUGACGAUCCCGGGGAUCAGGAGCGGACCGGUUACCUCUGCUAAGGCACAGGAGCAUGGCAACCUAGAGCGCCGGAGAGAGAGCAUACCCGACAGUACCCCCCUCUACAGCGCUUUCGGCUCCAGCCGAAGGACGCCAACCACAGAGUGUCAUGUUGCGCUAAUGCGCGUAACGAUGGUGACAGGUGUGCGCCAUAACGAGCAGCCUGGUGACCUAGAGGCUGGAGAGGGAGCACCUAUACCCUUCACGAGAAUGCUACAACCUAACCUUUGAAUGAAAGUUUACAUCGUAGGUGCACUAAGGUUGAGAGACAAAUUUGAGGUGACAGACCGUGAAAUUCAAUAUGCCUUGCACACUUGCCUGCAUCUAGCUGAUAUACAGUACCA